rnacentral:tRNA from 1 species
UUAAAGAUGCCAGAAGGAUUAUGGGUUAGAUUUAGGAUUUAAUAAUGGGCGGGUCCCUCUUUAGU